UAUUUUAUUUUUUUUUAAAUAGUGUUAUUAGUAUACGUUAAAAAAAUGUUAGAAGGGUAUGUAAAUUUUUUGAACAAAGAGAGUAAUCAUAAGACUAGCAACUGUAGUAGCAACAACUGUAGUAGCAACAACUGUAGUAGUAACAACUGUAGUAGUAACAAUAGUAAUAUCAACAAUAGUAACAGUAACAACGGUAAAAACAAAGAUGAUAAGAGUGGUAAGAGUGACGGAAAUAAGAAUAACGCAACAAACUUAAAUACAUAUAGAAAAAUAUGUGACUUUAUUUUAAUAGAUAAGAAUGUAAAUAAAAAACAAAUCGAUGGCUAUCAUACAAAAUUAAUAAAAUUCUCAAAAAAUGAAAAAGAAGAACAGGCUACUCGUAACAUUUGCGAUGUCGUGUUUUUUGGAAAUAACAACAGCAGCAACAGUAAUAACGGCAAUAACAGAAACAACAAUAAUAACUCUAAUGCAUACAUGCAAACAGGCACACAUACAGACACACAUACAGGCACACAUACAGACACACAUACAGACACACAUACGAAUAUUUCCAACAUACACACUAUUAAAAAGUAUUAUAAUUAUGAAUCCUCGGACCAAAGCAACUAUUUUGAUAGUAAAGAAAAAAUAAAAAAGUAUGUUUUAGAAAAGAAUUAUAAAACUGACAUAAAACUAAAAGAUAUUUUAUACGUAUAUAAUGGAAAUGGUAGUAGAAGUAGUAGUGGUAGUGGUGGUGGUAGCGGUGGUGGUGGUAGUGGUGGUGGUGGUAGUGGUGGUAGUGGUAAUAAUGAUGUUCAUAACCAUGGAAAUAUUGACCAUGAAAAUUAUGGCAGUAGUAAUAAUAAUAAUAAUAAUAAUAAUAAUGUCAUAGCAAAUAUAAAAAAAGAAUUGAGAAAAACAUCUUUAUGCAAGUAUUGGUUAAAAGGAGUAUGCGCAAACAUAGAAUGCAAUUUUGCUCAUGGUAACGACGAGCUAAAAUAUACAGCUGGAGUUUAUAAAACCACUAUCUGUAAACAUUGGAAACAGAAUGGAACUUGUUCGAGUGGUAUUAGUUGUAGACAUGCACAUGGAGAAAGUGAAUUAAGAC
rnacentral:lncRNA from 1 species